rnacentral:rRNA from 1 species
UACGAAGGGGGGCUAGCGUUGCUCGGAAUUACUGGGCGUAAAGGGAGCGUAGGCGGAUAGUUUAGUCAGAGGUGAAAGCCCAGGGCUCAACCUUGGAAUUGCCUUUGAUACUGGCUAUCUUGAGUAUGGGAGAGGUAUGUGGAACUCCGAGUGUAGAGGUGAAAUUCGUAGAUAUUCGGAAGAACACCAGUGGCGAAGGCGACAUACUGGCCCAUUACUGACGCUGAGGCUCGAAAGCGUGGGGAGCAAACAGG